CACGGGGCCAGUCUGCAUGGGAUGCAGCCCCUGGCAUGGAGAGGAGCCCCUGAGCCGGGUGGGACGAGACCACGGGAGCCCAGCACCGCUCCAGCCUGGAAAUGUAACCAGCAGGUGCAGAGAUGGUGGAUACAAGGCCAUUUCUGGAGCCCCGUGCACAGGCCCGCAAAGAAAAGCAGUGUGAGAGAAGAGCUGGGUCUCUCGGGAGAGGAGCCGGAGCGGGGAGAGCGGAGUCGCGGCUGCCGCGCCGCACAGAGCCGCCUUUCAUUACAAAGGGCCGGGAAGCGGCUCCGAGCUGCCAGCAGCACCGACACGAUGCGAGAGGGGAUUUUUCAGGCUGAUGCAGCAACAAAGGCAGUUAAAUCUAGCCAGGUAAGAGGCUUUCGAGGUUAGCUGGCUGUUCUCACAGCAUAGGGUUUAUUUUCUUUUUUGCCUUUUUUUUUCCCCCCCCUCUCUUUCCCCCCUCCUUUCCUAGGGGGAAUUAUUUUUGGUAAUCCAUGUGUUGCUGCUCGUUGGGCGCUGGAGCAGAAGUAAGCAGGUAAGCGGCACUUUUAUCCCCAGCCCAGCUUCCCAUCACGACCAGGACUCCAGUGAGGGGCUCUGAGCCUCAAAGAAAAGCGGCAAGGCUGGGCCAAGGCAGCUGGAGCAGCGCUAAGAUCACAGCAGCUGGGAAUUCCAUCUCUUUUUGAUUGAAAUGAUGGCAGGGGGAAGCUACCUGGAGAGGAGCAGCUUCCACAAGCACCUGCUUUACUACAGGAGCUGUGUGUGUUGUCACCGGUGGUUUGGGGUGCUGGCACCCACCUGGAGUCACUCACUGCCUGGCUCUCCUGGCAGGGCAUAGGGGUGCAGGGCAUGGGAAAGCCACCCAUGACACCCACAUUCAUCACCCUGCAAGGACCCCAGCACCCUUGUGUAGGGAGAGGGGCAUGCUGUGGUCCUAGGGCAGGAGGAUGCUCCCAUCACUGGCUCUGCAGGGAGUCCAGGUGGUUCAAGCAUCUCAGUGGGACCUUGUGGAGACUCAAGCCCAGACCCUGAAGCCUGUUGGAGGCCAGGAGGGUGUUUCUGAAGGGAUUUUUGUUUCUAGAGACCUGCAUGCCAGCCCCAGUGCUCCCUAAGAAACACCCUGGGCUGUCCUGGGCAGCUGCCUUCCCACCAGUCCUGCCAGGUGGACGAUGAGCCAGUGGCCUGUGACUCAACACCUCGUCCCAGUGCUUCACAUCAGCAGGUGGGACGUGACACGAGCCCGGAGGCUGCAGUGAGCCAAGCCGGCGGGGGCAGCACUCAGAGAGCUGUGCUGCCCUGCAGGGACCCACGGCCCCUUGCCAUCCCCGGCUCGCGGCCGUGACGGGUGGCCACAACUCCUCUCCCUGAAGGAGCUUGUCAUUUCAUCCUUCUCCUGGUGUCACCUCCUCAGACAUCACCCUGCUGAGGUGAUGAGCUGAGCUCAGAAGGGGCUCUGCAGAUCCAGCUGGUGCAAUGGUGGUGUUGCUCCAUUCCCUCGCGAUGCCUUUGCAUCACCCUGGGCCGUGUGCCGUGCUGGUGCCGGCUGCUUCCUGUAGCUUGUGCCCACACUGUGCUCUGGUUAUCGGUGCAAUCACCACCACCGAGGUGCUCAGCAGCCUGUCCAGAGACCUGAACCCUGCCUUAGUGUGGGGUGAAGGCAGUUGAAAAUCCCUCUUCCUCCCCAUCCUCCUCCUCUUCUCCCUGCGUCCACCACCGCAACAAGAAUAAACCAAUUGCACCAUUAUUCGUUUCA
rnacentral:lncRNA from 1 species